rnacentral:rRNA from 1 species
CCUACGGGUGGCACCAGUGGGGAAUUUUGGACAAUGGGGGCAACCCUGAUCCAGCCAUCCCGCGUGUGCGAUGAAGGCCUUCGGGUUGUAAAGCACUUUUGGCAGGAAAGAAACGGCACGGGCUAAUAUCCUGUGCAACUGACGGUACCUGCAGAAUAAGCACCGGCUAACUACGUGCCAGCAGCCGCGGUAAUACGUAGGGUGCAAGCGUUAAUCGGAAUUACUGGGCGUAAAGCGUGCGCAGGCGGUUCGGAAAGAAAGAUGUGAAAUCCCAGGGCUUAACCUUGGAACUGCAUUUUUAACUACCGGGCUAGAGUGUGUCAGAGGGAGGUGGAAUUCCGCGUGUAGCAGUGAAAUGCGUAGAUAUGCGGAGGAACACCGAUGGCGAAGGCAGCCUCCUGGGAUAACACUGACGCUCAUGCACGAAAGCGUGGGGAGCAAACAGGAUUAGAUACCCUCGUAGUC